CUCCCGACUCCGGAGCAGCCCCCGCCCGGCGCUCGCCCGGCCCGGCCCAGGCUCGCCCGCCCCGCGGCCGCCGCUCGCGGCUCUCGGGGUCUGGGCUAGCGCACCGCCUUUGUUAGUUUCCCGGGCGGGCAGAGGCAGGAGAGAAGACCAGGCGAGAAAGGAGAGGAUGCGUGGCUUUUUCGAGGAAUCGACAAUAUUUCCGGGAUGAGGAUGUGAUUUCUUCUCUGAGAAAAUGAAAUUGUUUGAGAGGGGCUUGGAAAUAAGACCUCGUCCCGGAGAGUUAAAAUCCCGGACUCUCCAUGAAUCCCAAGGAGACUCUCCGGCUCUGGCUCCCUCAAGAGAAUAGAGCGGAGGAGGUCUGUGGAGGAUCAAAUUUCAUCGGGGCCCAAUGUCAAAUUUCAUGGGCACAUUUGUUGUACCUGGUGGAACUGCGCAAGUCGCUCGAGCACGCUGGAAGAGCAGAGAGCAAGCCUCCGGGCCAUUUGUCACAGAAGAGGCUUUCUUCAGAACUUGGCACAGAAACCCCGUUUCUAGCCUACUGCUGCCCUCCUGGGUCCUUCGCGGUAGGUUAGCAGGAAAAGGAGAGAUCUUUGCAUUUUUAAAACAUUCACUCUACACAUGGAAACUAUGCUCAGGUCAUUCCUUCAGGCAUUAAAGGGAGUUAUGGGAA